UGGUCUUGACAUCCACGGAAGUUUUCAGAGAUGGGAAGGUGCCUUCGGGAACUGUGAGACAGGUGCUGCAUGGCUGUCGUCAGCUCGUGUUGUGAAAUGUUGGGUUAAGUCCCGCAACGAGCGCAACCCUUAUCCUUUGUUGCCAGCGGUUCGGCCGGGAACUCAAAGGAGACUGCCAGUGAUAAACUGGAGGAAGGUGGGGAUGACGUCAAGUCAUCAUGGCCCUUACGAGCAGGGCUACACACGUGCUACAAUGGCGCAUACAAAGAGAAGCGACCUCGCGAGAGCAAGCGGACCUCAUAAAGUGCGUCGUAGUCCGGAUUGGAGUCUGCAACUCGACUCCAUGAAGUCGGAAUCGCUAGUAAUCGUGG
rnacentral:rRNA from 1 species